UCUUGCCUCAACUUAAAGCAAUAGUUUGGAUAUUUUUAAGUGGGGCUGCAUGAGGUACUUAUCCAUAGUCAGUGUAUU